rnacentral:rRNA from 1 species
GCUCAACCGAGGAAGUGCUUCGAAAACUGGUAAACUUGAGUGCAGAAGAGGAAAGUGGAACUCCAUGUGUAGCGGUGGAAUGCGUAGAUAUAUGGAAGAACACCAGUGGCGAAGGCGGCUUUCUGGUCUGUAACUGACGCUGAGAUUCGAAAGCAUGGGUAGCAAACAGGAUUAGAUACCCUGGUAGUCCAUGCCGUAAACGAUGAGUGCUAAGUGUUGGAGGGUUUCCGCCCUUCAGUGCUGCAGCUAACGCAUUAAGCACUCCGCCUGGGGAGUACGAUCGCAAGAUUGAAACUCAAAGGAAUUGACGGGGGCCCGCACAAGCGGUGGAGCAUGUGGUUUAAUUCGAAGCAACGCGAAGAACCUUACCAGGUCUUGACAUACCAUGAAAAGCUUAGAGAUAAGUCUUUCCCUUCGGGGACAUGGAUACAGGUGGUGCAUGGUUGUCGUCAGCUCGUGUCGUGAGAUGUUGGGUUAAGUCCCGCAACGAGCGCAACCCUUAUUAUCAGUUGCCAGCAUUCAGUUGGGCACUCUGGUGAGACUGCCGGUGAUAAACCGGAGGAAGGUGGGGACGACGUCAAAUCAUCAUGCCCCUUACGACCUGGGCUACACACGUGCUACAAUGGUCGGUACAACG